AUCCAGCUGACGAGUCUCAAAUAGGAUGAAACGUGCCUUGUCCUGGAU
rnacentral:hammerhead_ribozyme from 1 species